GCAUAUCAAUAAGCGGAGGAAAAGAAACUAACAAGGAUUCCCCUAGUAACUGCGAGUGAAGCGGGAUGAGCUCAAAUUUAAAAUCUGGCGGUCUCUGGCCGUCCGAGUUGUAUUCUGGAGAAGUGCUUUCCGCGCUGGACCGUGUAUAAGUCUCUUGGAACAGAGCGUCAUAGAGGGUGAGAAUCCCGUCUUUGACACGGACUACCAGUGCUUUGUGAUGCGCUCUCAAAGAGUCGAGUUGUUUGGGAAUGCAGCUCAAAAUGGGUGGUAAAUUCCAUCUAAAGCUAAAUAUUGGCGAGAGACCGAUAGCGAACAARUACCGUGAGGGAAAGAUGAAAAGCACUUUGGAAAGAGAGUUAAACAGUACGUGAAAUUGUUGAAAGGGAAACGCUUGAAGUCAGUCGCGUUGGCCGGGACUCAGCCUUGCCUUUCGCUUGGUGUAUUUUCCGGUCGACGGGCCAACAUCGAUUUCGAUUGCUGGACAAGGGCUAGCGGAAUGUGGCACCUUCGGGUGUGUUAUAGCCGCUGGUCGUAUACAGUAGUUGGGAUCGAGGAYCGCAGCUUCGGCUUAGGAUGUUGGCAUAAUGGCUUUAAACGACCCGUCUUGAAACACGGACC
rnacentral:rRNA from 1 species